UACAGAGGGUGCAAGCGUUAAUCGGAAUUACUGGGCGUAAAGCGCACGUAGGCGGCCAUGUAAGUCAGGUGUGAAAUCCCCGGGCUCAACCUGGGAACUGCAUUUGAGACUGCAUGGCUAGAGUAUGGGAGAGGAAGGCGGAAUUCCCGGUGUAGCGGUGAAAUGCGUAGAUAUCGGGAGGAACAUCAGUGGCGAAGGCGGCCUUCUGGCCCAAUACUGACGCUCAGGUGCGAAAGCGUGGGGAGCAAAC
rnacentral:rRNA from 1 species